rnacentral:rRNA from 1 species
UACGUAGGGGGCAAGCGUUGUCCGGAUUUAUUGGGCGUAAAGAGCGUGUAGGCGGUUUGGUAGGUCCGCUGUGAAAACUCGAGGCUCAACCUCCAGACGCCGGUGGAAACCAUCAGACUAGAGUCCGGAAGAGGAGAGUGGAAUUCCUGGUGUAGCGGUGAAAUGCGCAGAUAUCAGGAAGAACACCCGUGGCUAAGGCGGCUCUCUAGUACGGUACUGACGCUGAGACGCGAAAGCGUGGGGAGCGAACAGG